AACGAACGCUGGCGGCAUGCCUAACACAUGCAAGUCGAACGAGAUCUUCGGGUCUAGUGGCGCACGGGUGCGUAACGCGUGGGAAUCUGCCCUUUGGUUCGGAAUAACAGUUGGAAACGACUGCUAAUACCGGAUGAUGACGAAAGUCCAAAGAUUUAUCGCCAGAGGAUGAGCCCGCGUAGGAUUAGCUAGUUGGUGUGGGAAAGGCGAACCAAGGCGACGAUCCUUAGCUGGUCUGAGAGGAUGAUCAGCCACACUGGGACUGAGACACGGCCCAGACUCCUACGGGAGGCAGCAGUGGGGAAUAUUGGACAAUGGGCGAAAGCCUGAUCCAGCAAUGCCGCGUGAGUGAUGAAGGCCUUAGGGUUGUAAAGCUCUUUUACCCGGGAUGAUAAUGACAGUACCGGGAGAAUAAGCUCCGGCUAACUCCGUGCCAGCAGCCGCAGUAA
rnacentral:rRNA from 1 species